rnacentral:rRNA from 1 species
AUUGAACGCUAGCGGGAUGCCUUACACAUGCAAGUCGAACGGCGUGGCGAACGGGUAAGGAAUGUAUCGGAACGUGCCCAUUAGCGGUGGAGAACUACGCGAAAUCGUAGCUAAUACCGCAUACUUUUGGAACGGCCGAUAUGGGAUUAGCUAGAUGGGGGGGUAACGGCUCACCAAGGCGACGAUCCGUAGCUGGUUUGAGAGGACGACCAGCCACACUGGGACUGAGACACGGCCCAGACUCCUACGGGAGGCAGCAGUGGGGAAUUUUGGACAAUGGGGGCAACCCUGAUCCAGCCAUGCCGCGUGUGUGAUGAAGGCCUUCGGGUUGUAAAGCACUUUUGGCAGGAAAGCGGUACCUGCAGAAUAAGCACCGGCUAACUACGUGCCAGCAGCCGCGGUAAUAC